GACGAACGCUGGCGGCGUGCUUAACACAUGCAAGUCGAACGGAAAGGCCCUGCUUUUGUGGGGUGCUCGAGUGGCGAACGGGUGAGUAACACGUGAGUAACCUGCCCUUGACUUUGGGAUAACUUCAGGAAACUGGGGCUAAUACCGGAUAGGAGCUCCUGCUGCAUGGUGGGGGUUGGAAAGUUUCGGCGGUUGGGGAUGGACUCGCGGCUUAUCAGCUUGUUGGUGGGGUAGUGGCUUACCAAGGCUUUGACGGGUAGCCGGCCUGAGAGGGUGACCGGCCACAUUGGGACUGAGAUACGGCCCAGACUCCUACGGGAGGCAGAAGUGGGGAAUAUUGCACAAUGGGCGGAAGCCUGAUGCAGCAACGCCGCGUGCGGGAUGACGGCCUUCGGGUUGUAAACCGCUUUCGCCUGUGACGAAGCGUGAGUGACGGUAAUGAGUAAAGAAGCACCGGCUAACUACGUG
rnacentral:rRNA from 1 species